GGCAGACGGAAUGAGUAACGCGUAGGUAACCUAUCCAGUAGUGGGGGAUAACUCGCCGAAAGGCGAGCUAAUACCGCAUGAGUUCCCGGGGUGAGACUCCCCGGGAGGAAAGCCUUCGGGUCGCUACCGGAGGGGCCUGCGUCCUAUCAGGUAGUUGGUGAGGUAAUGGCCCACCAAGCCUGUGACGGGUAGCUCGGUCUGAGAGGGACGACCAGCCGGAAUGGGACUGGAGCCAGGUCAAUAUCCUAUACGGGAGGCAGCGCGAGAAUCUUGGGCAUGGGCGAUAAGCCUGACCCAGCGACGCCGCGUGGAGGAUCGAAGGCCUUCGGGUCGUCAAACUCCUUUGGUGAGGGAAGAAGUUCUGACGGUACCUCACGAAUAAGCCACGGCUAGCUACGUGCCAGCAGCCGC
rnacentral:rRNA from 1 species